rfam:Ovis aries breed Texel chromosome 3, whole genome shotgun sequence.
UCCCUGGUGGUCCAGUGGCUAAGGCUGUGCAUUCCCAGUGCAGGUGGCCAGGUUCGAUCCCUGGUCUGGGAU